rnacentral:rRNA from 1 species
UACGUAGGUGGCGAGCGUUGUCCGGAUUUACUGGGCGUAAAGAGCGCGCAGGCGUCGUGCAAGUCGCGUGUGAAAGCCCCCGGCUCAACUGGGGGAGGGUCACGCGAUACUGCUCGACUCGAAGGCAGGAGAGGGAAGUGGAAUUCCCGGGUGUAGUGGUGAAAUGCGUAGAUAUCGGGGAGGAACACCAGUGGCGAAGG